rnacentral:misc_RNA from 1 species
GUAACAGAGUGACGAAACGUGAAAUUAAAACAAACAAAAUUAUUCUUUACACUUAAUACUUAAUACAUUUAUUGCAACCAAUGUUUAAUUUAUUAUCCAUUUUUUUAAUGUGUCCUCUACAAUGAAAAUUUUGGGUACAGGGUGUCUCAAGUAGAAACUAUGACGCCAGCAUUAAUUUUUUAAGUGAUUUCUUAGAAAUUUCUGUACAAGGAAACUAGAGACAAGGAGACUGAUGCUAAACGUGUGUACCCAAAAAAAAGCGAAAACUAGUUUCCGAAAGUUGCCACAUCUGAUCAGCGAGACCCACCUUUUGAUAAUGUUAAUGAUAAUGAUAAUGCGAUUUUCGGCAUUUUCAAGUAUGGGCAUGCCAUUCUUUGAUGUCUGUAUUCUAGGAUAAAAUUCUUGCACUAUUCGCACUGAGGACUCAAAUAAAUUUCCCGCCAAGACUCAGCAUUCAAGACCGCCUUUAAAUCGGAAAACACAAUCAAAGUCAAUCAGCAAUAAAAACUAAAUCUGCAUCUCACGCUUCUGUUGUAUAUAAGGAAACAAAACAUCCCUUAGAAGUAAAAAGGAAAGAGGUUUAAAGAGCGAAAAAUGAACUAGAACAGUAAAAGUCUAUUUAAAUCAGGAAUAAAAGCUUUUUUGCGCCAAAGGUGCGCAAUAUCAACUGAACUAAAAAUUAAGAAGUUCGACAAUGAGA